rnacentral:rRNA from 1 species
GAUGAACGCUGGCGGCGUGCCUAAUACAUGCAAGUCGAGCGAACAGAUGAGGAGCUUGCUCCUCUGACGUUAGCGGCGGACGGGUGAGUAACACGUGGAUAACCUACCUAUAAGACUGGGAUAACUUCGGGAAACCGGAGCUAAUACCGGAUAAUAUAUUGAACCGCAUGGUUCAAUAGUGAAAGACGGUUUUGCUGUCACUUAUAGAUGGAUCCGCGCCGCAUUAGCUAGUUGGUAAGGUAACGGCUUACCAAGGCAACGAUGCGUAGCCGACCUGAGAGGGUGAGCGGCCACAAGGAAACAGAAACACGGUCAAGACGCCUGGGGGGGGCAGAGGAGGGGAUUCUUCCGAAUGGGGCAAAAGCCUGACGGCGCACCGCGGGGGGAGGAAGAAAGGUUUUGGAAGGAAAAAACUUUUUUAUUGGGAAAAAAAAAAUGUUAAAGAAACUAGGCCCGUCUGGAGGGAACCUAAUAAGAAGCCCAGGGCAACCACGGUC